GACGAACGCUGGCGGCGUGCUUAACACAUGCAAGUCGAACGGGCCCGCUCUCUUUUUUGGGGGUGGGUUGAGUGGCGAACGGGUGAGUAUCACGUGAGUAACCUGCCCCCUGCUCCUGGAUAACUGCUUGAAAGGGCGGCUAAUACGGGGUGUGCCGGCUGGUCCGCAUGGGCCUGGUCGGGAUAGUUUCAUCUUCGGGUGUUUCGGUGGGGGAUGGGCUCGCGGCCUAUCAGCUUGUUGGUGGGGUGAUGGCCCACCAAGGCGGUGACGGGUAGCCGGCCUGAGAGGGUGGGCGGCCACACUGGGACUGAGACACGGCCCAGACUCCUGCGGGAGGCAGCAGUGGGGGGUAUUGCACAAUGGGCGGAAGCCUGAUGUAGCGACGUCGCGUGAGGGAUGGAGGCCUUCGGGUUGUGAACCUCUUUCUCCGGUGGUGAAGGCCCUGUCCGUUGCGGCGGGGUUGACGGUAGCCGGGGAUGAAGCGCCGGCUAACUACGUG
rnacentral:rRNA from 1 species